CGGGGCUGAGCGCGGCUCGGGCGGGCGGCAGCGGAGCCACGGAGCUGCCCGGGUCCGGAUGCCGGCAGGAUGGCGCUGGUCCCCGUCGUGGCGCUCUUGGCUCUGUGCCCCCUCCUCGCCCGGGCAGACCAUCCUCCUGUCACCGUCACGGUGACAGCGGCCAUCGGCGAGGACGCCUGCCUGCCCUGCGGCACGCAGCCCUGGGGUGACCUGCGCGGGGUCACCCUCAGCUGCACCCACCAGGCUGGCGGCCACCACGCCGUCCCCGU